UACGGAGGGUGCAAGCGUUAUCCGGAUUCACUGGGUUUAAAGGGUGCGUAGGCGGGCAGGUAAGUCAGUGGUGAAAUCUUCGAGCUUAACUCGGAAACUGCCGUUGAUACUAUCUGUCUUGAAUAACGUUGAGGUGAGCGGAAUAUGUCAUGUAGCGGUGAAAUGCUUAGAUAUGACAUAGAACACCGAUUGCGAAAGGCAGCUCACUAAACGCUCAUUGACGCUGAGGCACGAAAGCGUGGGGAUCAAACAGG
rnacentral:rRNA from 1 species